UACGAAGGGGGGCUAGCGUUGCUCGGAAUGACUGGGCGUAAAGGGCGCGUAGGCGGUUCAUACAGUCAGAUGUGAAAUUCCCCGGGCUUAACCUGGGGGCUGCAUUUGAUACGUGUGGGCUUGAGUGAGGAAGAGGGUUGUGGAAUUCCCAGUGUAGAGGUGAAAUUCGUAGAUAUUGGGAAGAACACCGGUGGCGAAGGCGGCAACCUGGUCCUUUUACUGACGCUGAGGCGCGAAAGCGUGGGGAGGCAAACAGGAU
rnacentral:rRNA from 1 species